rnacentral:rRNA from 1 species
AUUGGUAACGAUAGCUAAGUGGAUACACCUCUUCCCAUCUCGAACAGAGCAGUUAAGCACUUAAACGCCGACGAUAGCUGCAUAAGCUAAAAUAGGUAGUUGCCAAUA